ensembl:lncRNA
GAGGAAGUCACGCAUUGCCCGGGCCCGGGAGAUUCAUAGGUGGAGACGCAGGGGCUCUGAGGGGAAGAUCUGAGGUGGUGGACGUAGGGCGGGGCUUCAGGGGCGUGAGGCUCUAAAGGAGAGGAUCUGAUGGGUGGAGACGCAAGGGCGUGGCGUUGAGGGGCGGGGCUCUGAGGGGACGAUCUCCUAGAUGGAGAUUCAGGGGCGGGGUUCUGUGGGGAGAAUCUCAUAGGUGGAGGCGAAGGGGCGUGGCUCUGCAGGGAGGAUUUCAUAGGCGGAGAUUCGGGGGCGGGGCUCGGGAGAAUCACAGGAGGAGACGCAGGGCGGGGCUCUGAGGGGAAGAUCUGAGGUGUGACGUAGGGGCGGGGCUUCAGGGGGCGAGGCUCUAAGGAGAGGAUCUGAUAGGUGGAGAUGCAAGGGCGUGGCAUUGAGGGGCGGGGCUCUGAGGGGACGAUCUCCUGGAUGGUGAUGCCGGGGCAGGGCUCUGAGGGGACGAUCUCGUAGGUGGAGGUACGUGGGCGGGGUUCGGGGGAGGAGCCCAUGGUGAAAGGGCGGGGCUUACGGGGAAGAGGGGAGGCUGUCAUAGGUGGAGGUGCAUGGGCGGGGCUUCGGGGGAGGGGCUAUGGGGUAAAAGUGCGGGGCGGAGCUUAUGGGGAGGAGCAUGUGGGGUGGGGUGGGGUGGGGUGGGGUCGGGUCGAGCCCGUGGCGCGGAGCCCAUGGGCUGGGCUGGUUCUCGCUGAUGGGACCCGUUUCUCUUGCCCUGGGUUAGAGGUAGGCACGGUGUGUUUGGGGUCAGGGGAGGGAGGGUGUCCAGCGGACCAAUCUGUGUCCAGUCCCCCCACCCCACUCCCCUAGGAGAAAAUGCAAAUGAAUACGUCGCUGCAUGUGCCAGAGUCUUAAAAACGUUGAUUUUUUUCCCAUUGGAAGCCCCUGUAGUCGAUGAAUGGUUUUCCUUUACGGGUGUUUUCCAAAAUGGUCAGUUCUUGGAACAGCGGAAGCCCCAAACUGCUCAGCACGGCGCGCAGACCUCUUGCCUCUCUCCUCCCAAAACCUGCCCGUGGUUCCUCAGUCAUCCCUGAGCACCCCCAGCUCCCCGGUUCCCUGCUGCGCCCUCCAGGAGCCCCAAUUCCACGUAAGGCAGGGUCGCCCUCGUGUCCCGCUGUGGCUCCGGCGUCCUUCCCCCGUCAGAUUCCUACUUAGAGGACCUACGGGGCACGGAGUCGUAUCUGGGGACAAACGCCGGCUGGGGGUGCGUUCUCAGGGGACAUUGUCUCAAGGACAGGAGGAGGCCUCCCUGGGCAGGUGUGGACGGGGGCCCCGGGCCUACCCCGAAGGGAAGCAUCUCUCACGCUGGCCCUUGUGUCCCCGCAGCCGAGUGGCAGGUGGCGGAGGCCACAGCGCUGGUGCACACGCUGGACGGCUGGUCCGUGGUGCAGACAAUGGUCGUAUCCACCAAAUCACCGGACAGGAAGCUCGUCUUCGGCAAAGGAAACUUCCAACACCUGACAGAAAAGAUCCGAGGGUCUCCGGACAUCACGUGCGUCUUCCUGAACGUGGAGAGGAUGGCAGCCCCGACCAAGGUACCACAGAACGUGGCUGGCUGUGUGUGUCCCGUAUUCCGCGUGAUGAAGAAGCGGACGCCACAGUGUCCCGCCGGGCGGGGGACACGUGGGGACACGGUGGAGUUAAUGACAGACGUCCUCCUUCCUCUGCGGUUGGCCACCAGCGCCUGGCCUUCCCCUGUGGCUCCUCAGUUGCUCUCUCCUUUUGUAGAAAGAACUGGAAGCCGCCUGGGGCGUGGAGGUGUUUGACCGCUUCACAGUCGUCCUGCACAUUUUCCGGUGCAACGCCCGCACGAAGGAGGCCCGGCUUCAGGUGGCCCUGGCGGAGAUCCCGCUGCACAGGUAUCGUGACGGGGUACCCGGGCCCCUCCGUUCUGUACUCACCUGUAGGUCGUUCUGGGGGUACGUGA